CUGUGUUGGGAGUGAGUGGGUGUCUGGGGAAGACUUCUUUGAGAAGGUGUCAUGUGAGCAGGUCUGAAGCUGAGGAGGGAGCUGGCAGAGGGUUUCAGGUGGAAGGGAUGCCCAGGAGUGAGUCCUGACCUGAGGGUUCACCUGGGCUGAUAAAGAGUGAAUGGGGCGCUGUGAGCAAAAGACCAACAGCUGCAGAUGAAGAGAUGGUACGUGAACAAUACACCACGACCACAGAAGGCACCCACAUAGAGCGGCCAGAGAACCAGUCUGUCUACAAAAUCGGCAUCUAUGGCUGGAGAAAGCGUUGCCUCUACUUAUUUGUUCUUCUUUUGCUCAUCAUCCUCCUUGUGAAUCUUGCUCUUACAAUUUGGAUUCUUAAAGUGAUGUGGUUUUCCCCAACAGGGAUGGGUCACCUGCAUGUUACAGAAGAUGGACUUCGCCUGGAGGGGGAAUCGGAGUUUUUAUUCCCACUGUAUGCCAAAGAAAUACACUCCAGAGUGGACUCAUCUCUGCUUCUGCAGUCCACGCAGAAUGUGACUGUAAAUGCACGCAACCCGGAAGGAGGAGUUACAGGCAGGUUAAAAGUGGGUCCCAAAAUGGUAGAGGUCCAGAGUCAGCAGUUUCAGAUCAACUCCAAGGACAGCAAGCCACUGUUUACUGUUGAUGAAAAGGCAGUUGUGGUUGGUACAGAUAAACUUCGAGUAACUGGGCCUGAAGGGGCUCUCUUUGAACAUUCAGUGGAGACGCCCCUCAUAAAACCGGACCCAGUCCAGGACCUUAGACUAGAAUCCCCGACACGGAGUCUCAGCAUGGACGCCCCGAAAGGCAUUCAUAUUCAAGCUGCUGCAGGGAAAAUCGAGGCCCUUUCCCAGAUGGACAUCGUUCUUCACAGCAGUGAUGGGACACUUGUGCUCGACGCUGAGACCAUGUGUUUACCCAAGUUGGCCCAGGGGACUCAGGGUCCCGCAAGCAGCUUGCAGGGACUCUACGAAAUCUGUGCGUGUCCAGAUGGGAAGCUUUACCUGUCUGUGGCCGGCGUGGGUACCACAUGCCACGAGAACAGUCACAUCUGCCUCUAAACCAGGGGCGUCUUCCACGGAGCUACCUGCCUCGUUUCGGUGAGCUUCGGAGUGCUGACCUCAAGCCUUCACACCUGGAGCAACUCGACAAAGUAAAGCUGAGUUGGCACAUGGGAAGGAAGUAGGACCUGCUUUCGAAAGGAGCUCAGAAAGAAAAAUGUACCAGUGCAAGUGUCCCCGUGAAACUCCAUGAUCUCAAAGUGGCAGCUGGACCUUAGACACAAAAGUCAAAGGACUAUCAGGAGAAUGUGUUGAUUCCACUAGACUGAUUCAUUUCCAUCAGAACCAUUGUGACUUUCCCUUUCUUGUACGCGUCGAUCUACAGUGAAAUAUUGAACUGCUGUGUGGAAUAUCAGCUGUGGGUAUCUGACUCCCCACGAGAGUAGCUGUGGUCCUGCUGAGGUGCCGCGAGAGUUCCAUGAGGCUUUCCUCUGUAAAACCUAAGAAAAAUGUCUUCCAGCCCAGUUGAUGUGGAUGGAACACAGGAUCACCAUGGAACAUUGCUAAACUAGUUUGGUUCUCAUAGAACGUGUGUACAUGUCAAAAAAAAUGACGCCGAUGAUAAAGUGAGGUCGAGAAGAACAAAUCAAAGAGAAAGUGUGGGGAAUAGAACCUUUUAAACAAAAGGUGUAAAUCAGAUCUUUUUGCUCCUCUGCUAUAAUGGAAUCAUCCCUAAAGUUGUUUCUAGCUUCAUUCUACAGAGUGAUCAGGAAUUUCUCCUUGCUUAGAAUAAGAACUUUUAGAUGGGCUGUAUUCUAAGAUGUGUUACAUAAACCUGUCUUCUUAAGUACAUUAUACAGUGUAACUUAAAUUUCCAUUAAAGGUGCAAGGCCAUGCUUAUGAAUGUACCCAAUGAGGCAUACACACGAUAGCCCUACACCCUAAGCGCUUACCGACCGUCCAGUGCUCAUAAUUUUAGUGACCUCGCAAAACAGCCCUUGUUUCUUUUCCAAUUUCCGAACCGACUGAGAAGCAGACACAAGUGAAAAAGAUGAAGAUCAAAAUAUCAGCUUUAAUAGUAAAGUUGGAUUUGCAGCAAAAUGGACUUGCUAAGACCUUUCAGCAGAACAACCCCGAACCUCUCCCACCCCUGCAGGCUCCAACUCCGCAGCCCCUACACGAGUUCAGGUCCCCCUGCCCUCCCGGGCACCCCCAGGUCAGUCUCCACUCAUGCGCGGACAGGGAAGCAGGGUGGGAGCUCCCGCGAGGCUGGGUCGAUUUGUAUUGGUUCUCGUCCCCUCCCUUCCCUGAUCCAACACGCCUCUUCUCCCUUGGCUUUAGCUGGCUUCUCCGUAUUGUAAAUGCCACUGCAAAUUGGCUGUGGUUUAAUAACCGAACAAACUUUGGGUCACGUAUAAACAAGCGGGUGGAACGAGCGGGUCUAAGGGCACCGAGGACAAAAGGUGGAUUCUGAGCUAACAGUCAGUGCGGCUUCACCUUUUGUCCUGGGCUUUGUAUCCAGAAUAAAUGAGGGCACUUCCCGGGCCACUUAGCAGCUACAGGAGAAACAAGCCCAAAUUUUAAACACAGCUCUUAUUUUUCAGUAAAAUGUACCUCGCGUUGGCUUUGGUAUCCAAGUCUUCCCCAGUCUCGCCCACACCUGACAGCACGGGGGGCCCGGGACCGGCUUCCAGACCGAUGAAGGAGUGAUGACACUUUAGGCCAAACUUGUCAAAACAAGAUAAAUGGAGAAGAAGCGUCAGAAGCCAGAGUUUUAGGAAAUUCCACCUGCCGACUGCAGCUCCUGCCUGUGGGGUGCGCGCCCUGCAGGUCGCGGACCUGCCGGCCCCCGCGAUGGCAAGUCAGCUCCUGGAAGGACAGCUCUUCCCAGGUCUGUGUCCGUGUGUCUUCUGCUGGUUCUGUCUCUGGUAGAAGCCGGAGUCAUACAUGACUCAUUAAAAUCUCAUCUAACUGCUGUUUUCUACUAGCUUUUAUCCUUGAGGUCUGCAAAAUAUUGGAAGGACAGAAGAUGUCAGCUGGCGCUAAUGAAAGACAACCCCACCAGUCCCCAAAGCAGACCUGUUCUCUUUAUUUGACUGAACGCUAUUUGAACAUUUUCCCAUCAUUCUCAGGCUCGUCACUGGUCUCCCCCCGGAGGCUGUGGAGCAUUCCGCCCUUCCGCUCACGGGGAAGCACAGAACCCGCUCCCGAGUGCAGAAGGCCUGUUCCAACCCCUUUCUCAGGAGCAGCUACGCACACACCGGCUGGCAGUUUCCACCUUCUUUUUAAUAAAAAAAACAAAAUAGGGGAGCCUAAUACAAAAAAAUAGUUCAGGUCCAAAAUUCCUUACCCUGAAUUUCAAAAUCUAAAAAGUUCCAAAAAAUGAAAACUUUCCAAAUACAUCUACUGCAAACUAUGGGUGGCAAAACCUGACCUAAAUUUAGAUGAGGCUACUUCUCACGUCUGUGUAGUUUACUGUGGGUGGGUAUUCAUGGUCUCACUGCAGAAAUACUAAUGUGUUUGAUUAAAGGGAGCUGCCCAACUCUGAUGGAAAAGCCUCAUUAAACCCAGUUUAUAUGCACUGGUAUUAAUGUUCUAAAAUCCAAAUUCCGAAAAACAUUUGGAUGCAAGGGUUUCAUAUAAGGGACUGUGGACCUGUAUUUUUUCUUUUAAAGGAAGUCUAGAAAAAAACACAAAACUCCACCUAGAUCAUACCACAAAAGCCAGACAGGGUGUUCUGUGUACAUUUUAAUAUCCAAAAGCAAUGAAACAUAUUCCAAGUGUCGAAUCUGAGUUUUAAAGUAGCAAGAACUUAAGAUUAAGUCCCAGGCAGCUGGAGACCCAGCGUUCGGGUCGCCCUGGAAGAGAGAAUUCCAAGCCUGGUCUGCCGGAUUUAGAAGCCUUGUGCCUGAGGUGUAAAGAUGAACAUGUCCUACCUGUUAGCGCUCAAGUGUGAAUUGGCCCCAGGCACACAGCCCUCCCCUGAGGUAAGGUCGGUAUCAAUCCAGCCUCUACCUAGAGAAGAACCAUAUUUAACGUAUUUCCAAAUACAUAUGUAUACCACAUAUGUCAACUAAUUUUAUUCCCUAGAAAGGCGAAAUAAAAUCAACUCUUAACAAAAUCAGUGAGCACCUAAUAAACCUAGUAUAUGUCCAGUACUUUAUAUUCAAUCAUAAGAAAAGGAACCUAUUAAAAUUCCACUAUAAAAUAUAUAGGAAAGUUCUAUCCUAAUAUUUCCAAUAAACACACAAAUACACACAGGUCAGAACUUCAUAUAGGAAGAUAUUAGGUUUGAUUUUCAAGGAACUGUUUCUCAGGAAAUACCAGCUACAAUGAUUUCAUAUGUACAUUUGCUUUAUUAAAAUUGUGGCACUUAAUAUAAUAGCAGAAAUGAUCACAUGGCUUCACAUCCAGAAGCAAUACAAUAGUGGAGGCGCAAACAUUCCUUAUUACCAAUAAAAGUAAAAAAGUUUUAAUAUGUUCCAUAAGCCCUUAAUUGCAUAAAAUAUUAUAUUUAGCAUCAUUUACAGCCAGCACACUUAUAGAAACUAAUUACCAUCACCUUUCUUUUACAUUCUGCAAAAGAAGUAUGUUCGUAGGACAUUCAAACAUGAUAAAAAUUAAAUGUCAGUUCUGAAUCGUUCAUGGGGAAAACACAAGCUGAUAAUUCCUAUUUUAUAACUUAUUAGAUAUUGUCACAUGAUUUUACAAUUUUUUAAUGCCUUCAAAGUGAAAUCCAAAAAACUCCACUAAGUGCCAUGUUGAAGGACAAAAAAUGUUUACUGCAGCACCUUUAGACAACGAAAGGUCACAUCCUGUUCAGCCACACUAUAUAAAUUAUGACGUUCGUGGAAAAUAUGUACAAACAAACAUAAAGCAAAUGUUCUAACAGGUGACAGAUGUCGCUUUGGCAGGCGGUUCUUGGAAGCAGUAUUCACAUCCAGAGGCCAGAACGGCCACCACUGGGGUCUCCCACGUGCUACCUUCACGAACCAGGAAGCCUGUAAACCCAGGGCGGGAGGACAUCCAGAACAAGGAUGUAAAGUGUACUCAGUGCGUCCCAGCAGUACCGUCUGCAGAGUCUCAAUCAAGUAAUAUUCAGGAGUAAAGUACUGUACCAUGUUACACAUGUACUGAGGGUCUAAUAGGUAAAAUUGCAAAAAAUUCAUGAUCGGAUCCAGCUGAUAAGAAAAUAACACACCCAAGAGGAUCCACGUAAAGAGAUAAUAAGCUCCGAAGACUUAAUUCCCCUUAUUUGUUUAAACCAAUGAUAUGUCCAGUGUUUCAUUAGCUCCUACAUGGAAGACAUAAAACUAACUUCACCCUAACCAGAGACAGAGAGACUCUUAUCUAACAAACUGCUGAGCUUUGGUUGUAUAAAGUGCAGUCCAACAAGCCGCCACCGCAGCCGGCCAGCUGCCUCCAGCAAUUCCACAGUUCACCACCAGCCUCAAAAUAGUUCUUAGAUCCAGUUAACGUCUUCUGUUGAAAUUCAUGUUAAUAACAACUCCAAAAUUCUCCCCAAACAGUCUGCAGUGUGCUUCGCAAUUCCUAAACAACUGGCAAGGAAGCUUAAGGACAGCAAUUCAUACUUGUGCUACAACACAUUUGAGACCUAGCUCUGCUUCUUCUUUAAAUGCGUUCACACUUUUUGUUGUAUAAAAUUUUCAAGUUUUAUGAUGAUACAGGCAGUACAUUCCAUCACUCUCAUGGCAACCUCAGAAGUGAACCUGUCAUUCGGGAUCUGUGGGAAAGGCAGCAGAUCGGGGUACCUUGUUUUUAAACUGUCUACACCGUAAGCUUCCAAGGUGUGGACGUCAUUCGUCAGGCCUUCCAGAUGCUCACUGUAUUCCUCUAUUUUCUGCGCGAGUGCAGUCGGCUUCACGUCUUUGUCGGACUUGCCCCGCACAGCAUAGUCGGCGGCGAUCAGAGCCAGCUUGGUAGAGAGGAAACAUUUGAAGCACACCCAUUCGUUGGCGUUUUUGUGGAGGUCAUUCCUGGCGGCUGAGAAAUUGGCUCUGGCUUGUCGUAGCCACCUGCGUGCUUCGACUGGGUUACCGACUGACUUGAAGGUGGGGGGAACAAAGAACCUCGGAGAGUAAGUCUGUCCGGCUGAAGGUGGGCAUUUUUCCUUAUUUUGUUGUUGCCUUUCAGAUUUAUGGCUCGUUGCUUCUUGAUUCCAUGAAGUGUAAAAUCUCUGAAAUGAGUACUUCUCUGACUGAAAUCGGGAUGCUGAGGUUGAAAACGUUCGCCUCGAGGCUCUGUCUGCAUUUUGAUCUAGAAAAGCCUGUUUCUCUAAUCUGUUAAUUUCAUUCUGCAGAUGUUUAAAAACUUCAUUAGCAAUGUCAUGAUUCUCUGGGUUUUUGUCAGGGUGCCAUUUCAAAUACAACCGCCUAAUAAUCUUUUUUCUUUCAGAUUCUGGAAGCUUCCAAGCUUGCUCCACCACUGAUGUCACUUCUUUUAAAAUUUCUGGUAAAGAAUUCACCAUAAGCUUCUUGGGGGAAUGAUGCUUCGAAGAUGAGGUCUUGUGGCUCUCCCUACCAAAGAAAAGAGGAGGGAUACUUCGUAGACCAGGGGCCAGGAACUCUGUAGGGCUGGUGGGUGUGGAAGGGGCACUGUCUCUGCUCUGAGAGCUUUCCUCUGGCCUUGAAAACUUAUACAGAUCAAGAGAGCUAACUAUUUUAUAUUCACUAUAACCAAUAUCAAUCUGAUAUAUCUUUCCUAGAAAACUAGAGUUGUCAGCAUCUUCUCUUUCAACUUCCUGUACGAUAAUGGCGUAUGUAUAUGUCGGCUGGUACGACCCAUAGAUCUCCCCACCUUCAGCAUCAACGAGGUACCCGACGUAUUCCCCGGGAUAAAAGACAUUCAUUGGGUCCAUGAGCAGAGUGUAAUGAAUCUCAGCAGGUAUCGGAGUGCCGGGCAUUGGAAGUUCAAGUUUCGAUGGUUCUGAAGAGUCAUAUUUCACUCCUAAACUGUCGAGUUUCUCACUGAUCCUGUAAAUAUCAUUGCAUCCUAGCAUAGCAAUUAGAUAUGAAGUGUCGGAAAUCAAAUUGUCGGUCGCUGAUUUAAGCGUCAUUGCCAGGGCUAACAGGAAGUUAAUGUCUUUACUGUCUGAAUGCUGUAUGUAGAGCAGGAUGACUGCAUUCCCAAACCUCUUCAGGAAAGCAAAAGUUUCACUUCUGCUCUGAGGAAUAGGAUUGAAACCUUUAACUCUUAAUGUUGUCUGAAGCUUCUCGAAACAGGACACUUUCAAGCCUUCUCUUAGAGCUUUGCAGAGUCGCACGGCUUUCUCCUCGUUGGCCAGAAAAGCGUUAUCGUUUUCAUGCUUCAUGAUUCUGAUCAGGCCUGUGAUGAACUGUUCAGAGGACAGGAGUAACUGCAGCCUGCCCUGAAGAGAGCACAGCGCUCCAAACUGGCAGACCCUGGGAGUCUCCUCAUCCAACUGCUCCUCGAGGAUGCUGCUCAGCAGACGUGGUCUGAGUUUCUGAGGAAAGAGCAUAGUCAGCUUCGUGUGGAACCCGUGGUCUUUCCCCAGGUAGCACUGGCUGAGAUCCACCAGCAUCUGCACACCGAUAUUGCCCUGGAUCCUGCUCUUGUAAUGCGGGGCGUCAUCAAACACCAGGAUGUUGGACUUCACCAGCCUCCCAUCCUGGCUUGGCAGGUAGAGUGCAAGGUCCCGGAUGUUCUCGAGAUCGCCCCGCACCUUCACCGAGUCAUUCUGUAGACUCUUGAACAAGCCAGAAACGACUCUCUUAACGGUGCGCAUUUCAUUAGGAUCUAACUGUUUUCCUUCAGAAUUUUUGAAUAUGCGGCUCAGCACUUCAACAUACUGCUUGGUUGAAAUGAUAUCUUCAGUGCCUAAGUGUUUGAACAGCUGGUGAAAGGUGCCCAGUUCUAAAGGCAGCUUGUACAGAUACGGUUUAAAAUCAGACUCGUACUCAAGAUUGAUCACCACCUCCUCCGGCUUCAGAAGCUUCCAGCCAUCUUCCACCAUCACAAAAGCAACGCCCCGCAGCUGAAAACGGAACUCCCUUUUCUCUGCGCUGAGAAACUCGUAUAUGCUCCUUAAGACCUUUGCUCUAGUCUUGACCAUGUCUUCAUCCAGAGUUGUGAUGUUGCAUAUGUUCCUGCAGUUAUUGAUGACCUUAUCCAGAGGGGGGUCCAGGUUCACAUUCAGCAUACUUAAAACCUGCUCCAGCUGUUCUUGUGGACCAAGGUCACUCCCUUCUUGUUCUUUGAUGCUCAAGGGGGUGGCUUUCUCUGGAAGAAUAGGGCAUGACGUCCAUAACAGCUGGAGCACGUCGCACUGCUUGAAUUUUGGAUUCACCUGUGCUCCGUUGAACUUUAUAAGAGGAAGCGUUCCGUUUACCUCUUGAUACUGAGGAUGAAAUCGAAUGAAUUCGGCAGGGGCCCGCUCGGGACAUAAGAAUGGUAUUAAAGACAGUUCUUUCAAAAAAUUUCCAGAUAACAAAUCCAUUCGUUCUUGGAAUAUAUGGUGGAGAAGGAUAUCGACUGUAUUUUGCAGUGUUUCUUUAGACCAGUUUUCUGUAUUAGCCCUCACACUGAUCUCCUUAGCAAACUGUAACAACUGCUGCUGAGAAAGGAUGUGUUUUAGUCCGAUAUUUCUUAAGAAUUCUACCCAGGAUGUCAUAAAUGCAACUUGAUUUUUGGGUUUUAUAAGUUGUUCCAAUUUUUUAAAGAAGUCCUUAGGAAUAAACAAUUUUUCAGGAAGCAUAACUUCAAAAACUCUCACAGUUCUAUCAUAGAAAUGUUUGGCUUGCUUUAGUCGACUGUUAGUGUCAUGGAUUAUCAAUAAACUUUCCAGUUUUUCGAAAAGUUGUUCCUUGAUCUCUGACAAUUCUUCAAUACUUGAGAGUCUAUUCUUAAGAUAGAUCAAAUGCUCUAAUUUUGCAUCAUAAGAGAGAUUUUCGAUUUUUGGUAAGAGGUGUUUCAAAUAGACCUCAAGAUCAUCUACAGGCACACAA